rnacentral:rRNA from 1 species
AUUGAACGCUGGCGGCAGGCCUAACACAUGCAAGUCGAACGAGUGGCGGACUGGCGAGUAAUGUCUGGGAAACUGCGCGAUCGAGGGGGAUAACUACUGGAAACGGUAGCUAAUACCGCAUACGAUCCGUUGUGCCCAGAUGGGAUGAGCUAGUAGGUGGGGUAAUGGCUCACCUAGGCGACGAUCCCUAGCUGGCCUGCGAGGAUGACCAGCCACACUGGAACUGAGACACGGUCCAGACUCCUACGGGAGGCAGCAGUGGGGAAUCUUGCACAAUGGGCGCAAGCCUGAUGCAGCCAUGCCGCGUGUAUGAAGAAGGCUUUCGGGUUGUAAAGUACUUUCAGCGAGGAAGCGUUACUCGCAGAAGAAGCACCGGCUAACUCCGUGCCAGCAGCCGCGGUAAUUC